UACGGGGGGUGCGAGCGUUGUCCGGAAUCACUGGGCGUAAAGGGUGCGUAGGCGGGUCUUUAAGUCAGGGGUGAAAUCCUGGAGCUCAACUCCAGAACUGCCUUUGAUACUGAAGAUCUUGAGUUCGGGAGAGGUGAGUGGAACUGCGAGUGUAGAGGUGAAAUUCGUAGAUAUUCGCAAGAACACCGGUGGCGAAGGCGGCUCACUGGCCCGAUACUGACGCUGAGGCACGAAAGCGUGGGGAGCAAACAGG
rnacentral:rRNA from 1 species